GAUGAACGCUAGCGGGAGGCUUAACACAUGCAAGUCGAGGGGCAGCAUAGGGUAGCAAUACUCUGAUGGCGACCGGCAAACGGGUGAGUAACGCGUAUGCAACCUACCCUGUACAGGGGGAUAACCCGGAGAAAUUCGGACUAAUAUCCCGUAAUAAUAUCCGGAGGCAUCUUUGGAUAUUUAAAGUUUCGACGGUACGGGAUGGGCAUGCGUAACAUUAGCUGGUUGGUAAGGUAACGGCUUACCAAGGCUAUGAUGUUUAGGGGUCCUGAGAGGGUGGUCCCCCAACUGGUACUGAGACACGGACCAGACUCCUACGGGAGGCAGCAGUGAGGAAUAUUGGUCAAGUGGGCGCAAGCCUGAACCAGCCAUCCCGCGUGCAGGAAGACGGCCCUAGUGGGUUGUAAACUGCUUUUCCGAGGGAGAGAAACUUACGCACGUGUUGCGUGACUGACGGUACCCUGGGAAUAAGCAUCGGCUAACUCCGUGCCAGCAGCCGACGGUAAAACUCACGUGUAC
rnacentral:rRNA from 1 species